AACGAACGCUGGCGGCGCGCCUAACACAUGCAAGUCGAACGAGAAUCCGGGGCAACCCGGUAGUAAAGUGACAAACGGGUGAGGAAUACAUGGGUAACCUACCCUUGAGAAGGGAAUAACCCGCCGAAAGGUGAGCUAAUACCCUAUACGCUAUCUUUUUUCGAAAGGAUAGGAAAGACCGGGUCGAGGACCUGGUACUCAAGGAGGGGCGUCAUGUCCUAUCAGCUUGUUGGUGGGGUAACGGGCCUACCAAGGCUACGACGGGUAGGCUGGUCUGAGAGGAUGAUCAGCCACACUGGCACUGAGAUACGGGCCAGACUCCUACGGGAGGCAGCAGUGAGGAAUAUUGCGCAAUGGGCGAAAGCCUGACGCAGCGACGCCGCGUGGGGGAGUGAAGGUUUUCGG
rnacentral:rRNA from 1 species